GCUUCUUACUGCCCCAGAUACCUUCUAGCAAAUCUCCUUCUUAUACAAUGAUUUAACCUCAGCAUACUGUUUCUUGAUUUACUGGUUAUUAGGUUCCAACCAGAAGGCAAACUCAGAAUCUGCAGUUAGCUACAUUUUUUAUAUUAGAAAGAUCAAAAUCAUUAAAUAUAUAAGAAAGAAUAUUUACACUAUCGAGCACACAAAGAUAUGAUUUGGAUUAUGACAUUAACAUAUCCUCAAUGGACCCUUUAAUUCUUCCCAAUUCCUUUCUAGCAGUUGCUAGGCGUGAGCAUGCCUUUAUGUAGCUAUCAUCCAGGUUCAAAGCCUCUGUACAGUUAUCCUCGGCUUCUUGAAAUCUAAUAAGCAAUAUUAUUAUUAUUAUUAUUAUU
rnacentral:misc_RNA from 1 species